GUCCGAUGCCCAUGGCGGGCGUUUCCUCCCUUGACUUCGGCCCCGCGCGACGACCGCUGCGGGGCCUUUUUUUCGGCUCC
rnacentral:sRNA from 16 species